rnacentral:rRNA from 1 species
ACGCUCGACACCUACGGGGGCAGCAGUGGGGAAUAUUGCACAAUGGGGGAAACCCUGAUGCAGCGACGCCGCGUGGAGGAAGAAGGUCUUCGGAUUGUAAACUCCUGUUGUUGGGGAAAAAGAGGAUGGUACCCAACAAGGAAGUGACGGCUAACUACGUGACAGCAGCCGCGGUAAUCUGAGCGGGCUGGCAAGGC